GGGUCAGUAGGUUGGUCGUGCCACCGGUACGUACUGGUCUCACUGAUUCCUCCUUCCUGAAGAACCGUAAUGCCAUUAAUUUGGUGUUGCGGGGAAACAGGACUGUUACUUUGAAAAAAUUAGAGUGUUUAAAGCAAGCUAACGCUUGAAUACCUUAGCAUGGAAUAAUGAAAUAGGACGAUCGAUCCUAUUUUGCUGGUUUCUAGGAUUGACGUA
rnacentral:rRNA from 1 species